CAGCUCAUUCAGAAAUUAUAACCCUCCUCCAAUCUCUACCACUGCUUAUCCCUGGCCCCCAACUGUAGAAGGUAACCCCGUGAGACCACAAUCUCCCAGUCUAAAUUUAUCAAUGCCCAAGAUGGAUUUUCCAAAGUUUGAAGGAAAGGAUCCGAGGGGAUGGAUUAAAAAAUGUGAAAAAUUCUUCCAAUUAAACCCAAUACUAGAUUCCAGAACUAAGGUGUUAUAUGCAGC
rnacentral:lncRNA from 1 species